CUUUGGAACACUGGUUAUUUGGAUGACCCAGGAGAAUAUAUAUCUGCAUAAACAGUGCUUGAAUAAGUUUGCUCCUAUUGUUCCAGUGACCAGAGAUCUCACUCUGUCUUUUGAUCUCACUGCUUUAAGAUAUUGGAAAAUAUUUGGACUAAUGAAUCUUCCAUGUGUGAUCCCUUUACCUAUGUUUGUUCAUCAAUUACAUAUGGGCAAUGACAGGCUUUUUCACUUAUUCUUGAGCUCUCUAUGUAGAAAAGUCUUUUGUUUUUUAAACUCUUGCCCAACCACAGAAAGUCUCCACCAGAACCACUGAAGCAGAGUCACACUCAAAGGUAAAGGUGGCUUAGUGUAGCUGAUAAAGGGAGAGAAUCCAAAUAAGAUACCAAAGAAAGGAAGAGCUUUGGAAAGUCACAGAGAAUGUGACAGGAUGCCUGAAAAGUUCAGCGAUGAAGAUGGAUCGCCAUUGAUUAGAAGCAAGUGAACAUUGCUACAGAUGCACAGAUCCCUGGUAGGGGAAAGAAGCAGAAGCCACUUCCUAAAGGUAAACCAGGAAUAUUUUGAUGCAUCCCCUUCAGUAGAGAGCCAAGAGAUGAGAAGUCCCUGAGUUUCUCCUUGUCCUCACCUGCAAAGCUGUCUCCUCUCUCAGCCUCUACAGAAGUCAGCUGGAUGAGACUUACCCUCAG